UACGGAGGGUGCAAGCGUUAUCCGGAUUCAUUGGGUUUAAAGGGAGCGUAGGUGGCCUUAUAAGUCAGUGGUGAAAUCUUCGAGCUUAACUCGGAAAUUGCCAUUGAUACUGUAGGGCUUGAGUAUAGUUGCCGUUGGCGGAAUAUGACAUGUAGUGGUGAAAUACAUAGAGAUGUCAUAGAACACCGAUUGCGAAGGCAGCUGACGAAACUAUAACUGACACUGAGGCUCGAAAGUGCGGGGAUCAAACAGG
rnacentral:rRNA from 1 species